GGCCGGGUACGCAAAUCGGUAAAGCGGCCACCUUGAGAGGGUGGUGACUGUUUGUGGGUUCGAUUCCCACCUCGGCUA
rnacentral:tRNA from 1 species